GGCCUCGCAGCACGCUUAGUCUUAUCAAAUUCCUCUUCCAGAUCAUACUUCGCCGGCCUUGCAGCGCGCUCAGUCUCACCAGUGGUGGAGUUACCGGUUCCACCGGACUCAGAUUCCACCCCCAGAUCGUACUUCGCCGGCCUCGCAGCGCGCUUAGUCUUAUCAGAUUCCUCCGAAGAGUAAUCCAUGAGGAAGGAGGUGCUGGAUCUGAAAAGGUGGA
rnacentral:misc_RNA from 1 species